GACGAACUGCCCAAACGUUGUUCGGAAUCACUGGGCUUAAAGGGCGCGUAGGCGGCGAAUCAAGUCAGGGGUGAAAUCCGGCAGCUUAACUGUCGAAGUGCCUUUGAUACUGGUUUGCUCGAGGAAGGUAGGGGUGUGUGGAACUUCUGGUGGAGCGGUGAAAUGCGUUGAUAUCAGAAGGAACGCCGGUGGCGAAAGCGACGCACUGGACCUUUUCUGACGCUGAGGCGCGAAAGCUAGGGGAGCAAACGGG
rnacentral:rRNA from 1 species